GAUGAACGCUGGCGGCGUGCCUAAUACAUGCAAGUAGAACGCUGAAGGAGGAGCUUGCUUCUCUGGAUGAGUUGCGAACGGGUGAGUAACGCGUAGGUAACCUGCCUGGUAGCGGGGGAUAACUAUUGGAAACGAUAGCUAAUACCGCAUAAGAGCAGUUGUUGCAUGACAGCUGUUUAAAAGGUGCAAUUGCACCACUACCAGAUGGACCUGCGUUGUAUUAGCUAGUUGGUGAGGUAACGGCUCACCAAGGCGACGAUACAUAGCCGACCUGAGAGGGUGAUCGGCCACACUGGGACUGAGACACGGCCCAGACUCCUACGGGAGGCAGCAGUAGGGAAUCUUCGGCAAUGGGGGCAACCCUGACCGAGCAACGCCGCGUGAGUGAAGAAGGUUUUCGGAUCGUAAAGCUCUGUUGUAAGAGAAGAACGAGUGUGAGAGUGGAAAGUUCACACUGUGACGGUAUCUUACCAGAAAGGGACGG
rnacentral:rRNA from 1 species